rnacentral:rRNA from 2 species
GAAACUUGCCCCGAGAUGAGUUCUCCCUGAGACUUUAAGUCUCCUGAAGGAACGUUGAAGACGACGACGUUGAUAGGCCGGGUGUGUAAGCGCAGCGAUGCGUUGAGCUAACCGGUACUAAUGAACCGUGAGGCUUAACCUUACAACGCCGAAG